rnacentral:rRNA from 1 species
AAUCAACGCUGGCGGCGUGCCUAACACAUGCAAGUCGAACGCGAAAGCCCCUUCGGGGGGUAAGUAGAGUGGCGUCCGGGUGAGUAACACGUAGGUAAUCUACCUUCGGGUGGGGAAUAACCAGUCGAAAGAUUGGCUAAAUACCGCAUAAUGCAGCGGCACCUAAUGGUGAUUAGUUGUUAAAGCGGGGGAUCGUAAGACCUCGCGCCUGAAGAGGAGCCUGCGGCAGAUUAGCUAGUUGGNGAGGUAAUGGCUCACCAAGGCUUCGAUCUGUAGCUGGUCUGAGAGGACGGCCAGCCACACUGGCACUGACACACGGGCCAGACUCCGUACGGGAGGCAGCA